rnacentral:rRNA from 1 species
UACGAGGGGAGCAAGCGUUGUUCGGAUUUACUGGGCGUAAAGGGCGCGUAGGCGGUCGUGACAAGUCACUUGUGAAAUCUCCGGGCUUAACUCGGAACGGUCAAGUGAUACUGUCGGACUAGAGUACAGAAGGGGCAACUGGAAUUCUCGGUGUAGCGGUGAAAUGCGUAGAUAUCGGGAGGAACACCAGUGGCGAAGGCGGCUGCCUGGGCCAGUUCUGACGCUGAGGCGCGAAAGCGUGGGGAGCAAACAGG